ACUAGAGAGAAAGUAAAGAAUGACAUUUAUAAAGAAAUAGAAAGCUAGGCGAUCAGUUCAAAUCCAGUGGAACUUUACAAUUUAAUUCUUAGAAAGCUUUUUAUGGUCUCAGACUGAGAACGGUUUGGGGAAAACUGCAGUGGAGGAUUAGGAGAAAAGUUAGAGAAAAAAUAUUUUUAAAAAAGCUACUGGUUGGAAAGAACCUGGACUUAAACAGCAGUGAAACAAUUUUCUUCACCACUAAAUAAAGCCAGUUUAUCAGCACAGUGAACAAGCCUAUAAGCACAGUACAGUGCCCUUACACAGACAUAGGGAGAAGGCACGCAAUUCAGCAAAAAGAAGAUUUUCUAGAUCUUUAAACCUACAGCUGUAUUAAGCUGAAACUUUUGUAGUUUCUCCCCCCAUGCACACCUUCCUCAAACCGUUAUGGUCUGGCAAUUAUUUCAAGAGUUUAACUUUCAACAACUACAAGCUGUCCCCCUUUUCUAAGCCCCUCCAGUACUGCUGAGUGGACAAAAAAUUACAGAUGCAAGAAAAGCUGACAAAUGACUGCAAGGCCCCUCCUCUCCAGUGCCUCGACAGCCAAAGCUCCUGCCAAAACAUGCCUGAAAGCUAGCGAGGAGACAAAGACACAAAGAUUCCAUUUUCGUGGGUAAAGGAGUUUUCACGUGGAACUACCAGAGAGAAGAAUAUGAAUAGAUGCACAUUGGCACACGUAUCAUUCCAAAAACAGUGCAGGAAUGUGUGUUUCAAGAAAAAAAGAAAAAGAAAAAAUAGAGUUCAUUUUUCAGUAAGUUCAAAUGCUGUUUUAGACACAGCUCUUUUUAAACUGCAGAAUGUCACGAGGGGAGAGAGAGGGGAAGCUUCCAUAAAGCUGCAAAAUCAUUUUCAGUUGUGGAGAACUUUCAGUUUAACAAGAUCCAAGCUAAGACGUCACUGCUGUUCCUCUAAAUCAUCUCUUGAUAAAGUUGUAGUGCACAUGAAACCAAAAUAAAGUAAACUCAGCUUUUUUAGCUCAAAUCUGUUUGGAUGUGUUUACUAUUAAAAGAUUCUUCCCCCAGGGUGUCAUUAAUAAAGUUGCAAUGAGUUUAAAACCCUGGCACCUAAGCACUUCCAAGUUUGCAAGCUUUUAAUCAUAAGUUUACUACUUCUGGCUUGUUCUGCUAUCAUGGCUGGCACUCAUCACUGAGCUGGAACUGCUUCUGUGAGCAGAGAUCAGCGGCAAUGGGAACAGAGACAAGCUAAGCAGAGAGAAAACGAAAGAACGUGACUUCUCUCUGAAACGAGUCAGGAAGUUGGGAAAGAGUGCAACUGAGGGUGGGAAAGCUUCAAGUAGAACUACUCAACUUUCUCAUCAAUUUAAAAAUGAAAAGGAUGUUUACAAUAAUAGCACGUAAGAUUAAAUCUAUCAAUUAUUUCAAGUGCGGUCCCAUUCCAUUAGGAUUCAGCAGCAAAGCCAGCUACUAUUAAAUAUAAUAUGACCUCCCACCACACUGGUAAUUUACAAAGUGGAGGUGUAAAAUGGAGGCUUCAUCACUAGUAAGGCUAACAGAAUGCACACAGAUCUGAUAAUUACUGUUCAUCAACUUGUAGCAUGCCACAGAUCUCUACUUAAAGCAGCCUUUCUUCUUUUACGUGAGGCUUCUUCUACAUAGAUGGUAUCAGAGGCACCGAAAUUGAACUAAGGUCUUCCAUCAGAAACAUUUAUGCAGUAUAAAUAAAAACCAAACCAUUACAUAACAUGAAGUCUAAAAACAUGAUUAAUGCCUUGCCUUGACAGGUUUGCAAUUGAGCCAGAAUACAACUGCUGCAACCCCACUACCAGAUAUGCUAUGCAGCUGUACUGCCCCUGGGUCACAGGCCGGUCCUGCUCCUUCAUCCAAGGCACUGCAGAAAGCCCUGCAGGCAACAAGUCCACCUCUCUGCCCUCUGCUUACCCUCACUUCCCCUUCCUUCAGCCCAGUCUUAGGCAGUGGUGUUUCCUCUGAUCACCUAAUACCCAGGCCAUAGAGAUGUGGCACAGUUGUCACUUAUCACAAGUGCUGCCCCACAGACCUUGCUAUUCCCUUCUGUCCACUUCUGAAGACUGCUCUGCUGAUAGGCUUUAUGAAGGAAAGGGCUGAUAAGGGUGGCCAGGCACUGGAAUGGGCUGUCCAGAGAGGUGGUGGAGUCACCGAGCCUGGUGGUGUUUGGAUGUUGUGUUGAGGGACAUGAUUUAGCAAGAACCAUUGGUGAUGGGCGAAUGGUUGGACUGGGUGAUCCUGUGGGUCUUUUCCAACCUUAGCAAUUCUAUGAUUCACACUAACUAAUCAACUGAAAGUAUCAAAUCCUGAUCAUUAUUAAUCAUCCAUGGUUUCAAGUAAAUCAGGAGUAUUAAGAAAACACAAAGGUCAUUCUGAAAAACAGCCCUAUUCUCCUUAUUCCAACUGAGGUGAGUAGUGAACACAAAAUUUUGAACAUUACAUGUUGAAUUAUAAAUUUAUACUUAUUUUUUUAAUUAAACUCCUUCACUUUGCUUUGGCUGAAUUCACUAUUUUUUCCACUUGCUAAGUUCAGACUUUUUCUUUUUUUAAGUCUUCCUAGCUAGACAGUAUCUACACGCCUUUUGUUCUUUCUUUGCAGUUUACCAUCCAGCCAUCACUGAUCUCUUCAUCCCCCAUUCCUACAAAAUUCUCUUAUGUGCUCAGACAAAACGCCACAGCAAGGACAGCAUCUCUACCCUCCAUCUCUUAGGUCUCCAUUCUCCACCAGAUCCAGCCCCUUUCUGCUUCCCAUCCACGUUAUCCAAUUUUCCCUAACAAGAAAUCCACUCUUGUGGCUAGCAGCAUUUACUUCCAUGGUUGCCUCAUCAAACAGGUACUUACCUCUUCAUCUCAAGAGAAGAGGCUUAGAAACAGCUAUCAUGACCCCUAACAUCCUACUAAAUCCACUCAAACCUCCAGCAAAGCCAGCAAAAUCCAGCCUGCUAUCAGUCAGGGAGCUGGCAGACUGAAACCAGUGCCCAGCAGGCUGCCUAGAUCCUUUCCUGUGUGCCUAUAUCAAAUACCAGCUACUACAAGUGUUUGGGUAGGGGUAGUUACUGUGCUUUGUGUUUGCAUAGUAUCUAGUACAGAGGGAUCCUAAUGUUGAUGCACUGCAGAGAUGUGAAAGACAGUUUGACUCCUCUCACUGAUGCAGUUACUGUCUAGGGGAAAGACACAGAGUAAAGAAUGAAACUAGAAUCAAGACAAGAUUUAUGACUGGAAAGUUACAAAAAUACUUCCUCUAAUACUGCUAGUAAAUGUUCUUGAGUAUAACAUUACAGAAGAAUCUUGAGAGAAAAAAAGUUUAUAUCAAAUUCUAGAAACACUGCAACAGGUGAAAAAUAUUAUCACUUGAUUUAAUAUGCUGGUCUUCUUCCUCAGCUAACAUUAUUUCUAUUUGAAUGCUUUUAAAGAUUACUUGAAUAAGAUCAAAUUAUAGAAUCAUUUUGAACUAUAACAGCUACUGGAAGUUAAAAUGAAAUCUUACGUCUCUGUCUGAUGCCUGCCAUUGCAACUGAGUUUGUUUUAAUGACUACGUGUCCAGGCAAUAGGUGACAUCGGGUUUGAAGAAGGUGACUGUGUUUUAGUGGCUUUUGUACAACAUGGACCUCCAGCAUAACAUUUAUUAUCAUAAUGGUAAUUCUGUAAUUAAAGCACACCCUGAGGGGUGGUAUGGGUUUUUCUGUUGUUUCUUCCCCCCGCCCCCAUGUUCCACAAAUGUGAGAUUUUUGAAAUCUCCAAAUAGGUUUCAACUUUGUGUUUCUGAACUGAUUUUAACAUAGGUGAUGUAGCUACACUGAAGAUGGAUCUGAAAUUCUCAGAACAUUUUCCAUGAAACUGCAUGAAGGUUUAAUACUACAAACAAGUCUUCUUCAGCAUAUGAUGUAUUAAUUAUAGUAUUUUUCAGACUAUAAACUCUCCAAAAAGGGGACCCUUGGACCAUUGAGAAGUUAAGAUUUUAAUAUAUUUCCUUUUAAAUUUAAUACAGGAUACUUGAUACUAGACUCAUUUACAUGAGUUGGAUUUAAUAAACAAGUGUCUGUAACAGAAUAUUUGUUACUUAAGCUUUGCAUUUUCAAAACAUGCCAAAUGCAAAGAAUUGGAAGGCUUUGGGAAUCCCAUCAUCUGAUUCACAGCACUUGAAGGACAGGGAAAAAUGUAUUACAUCCCAGGCUAAGGAUGUAACAAAAUUCACAGCUAUUGAAAAAGUUUUUUGAAGGUUCAUGAGGCUUGAUGCUUAGUACCAAACAAGGUCAGACUAUCACCUAGACCUGUAUUUUUGAGUAUUUAAGUAGGAUUUAUUUAAGAUGGGAAAUGAAACAUCAGCUCUGCUAUGGCAGAAGAGCUAUGAACACAGGUUUAUUAUUUGAGUUUUCAGAGAAGGAUCUUAUUAACACCUGCAGCACUGAAAAACAGCCUACAGCUCAUUUUCUGUUUGUCUUUGUCUUUCUGAAUAAUCUCACAAAAACAGCAUGAAGCAAAAUACCGUGGAGCUACUUAUUUGUGAUAUUAAAGUUACUGAAAGUAUAAGAUUCACAGAAUUAUUUUUCAGUUUAAUAUUCUGAAUAAUCUCUUUUCAUUCAGAGCAAAAACUUGUAAUUAAUAUAAUUAGUAUAAUAACACUGCCAGACCACUACAGCAGAGCUAGGUAUUUUUCCUUGGGUAAUGUAAAGAACAACUAUCAGCUGAUCUAUUGAGUAUAUUCUGAGCUAUCUCUCCUAAUCUUCCCUUUCUUUGUUUUCUAGACAAAUCAUCAGUGAUCUACAGACAAGCAAACGAAGUGAGCUGAGGGCAAUUUAACUACCGCCUUCUGUGUCAGUUCCCCAGAAGUCAAUGAGGCAUACUAUCGGGUCUCCAAGGUACAUCCCAGAGAUUAUUUAGUCAUGCUGUACAAUUAGGAAAUGAUUAGAACAAGCUGUUUUCUUCAAUUAAAUUAAGAUACUUGCAGCAGUGAGAGCUAUUACACUUUAUGGUAGACUGUACCUUUCAGAAUGAUAUGUACUAGCACUUUAUAAUGAUUUGUCAACUCAACCAACUGACCACGCAGCACAGUGGUCUCAGGUAUAAGGAAGAGACUCCACCCAUCUCACUUGAAUAAAUCCAGUAAUAAUAUCUGAGCUACAAAAUUCAAAGAAGUAUUUGAACACUAGUUUUCAUCAUGGGCAUUUUAUGUAUUUCAAGACACACCUGUAAGCCUUUUGUAAAAAGAAAUGAGCAAAAUAGCACAGUGUCUGUAUUAAUCAGAUGGCUUCAAGUGUUUAAACUUAAAAUGAUGCCUUCUAGUAAGCCAUGUGAAAAUCCCAAUUAUAGAAAUCAUUAUUCCAGGUAUUACGUGCUAUUUUAUGUUCCCAGCAGGAUGUUUUUCAUCUCGUCAGGAGUUUCCAAGGCUGUUUAGUGUUUCUAUAUAUGUAAAAUACACUUAAGGGCCCCCAAAAGAUCUGCUAAUUAAAAAAGCCUAGUAAAGUGGUCAGACAGACUGGAACUCGAGUAUUAUAGGUAAGAGGGAAGAAAUGAAGGCUCGGAAACUAUAAUUUCUCUUUUUGUGGUAGCAGCAGAAGCAGCUGUUAUAGACUGAGCAAAUUAAAGAUGUGGCUGACAAAGCCAACAGUCUGGAAACAAGACGUUGCAAAGACAUAACAGCAAGUCAUAUGCACCCCACUUUUAAAAAGCCAAAAGUGCUGACCAUUUCUUUUUCUUCCUCCCUUCCUGUUAUCCUCGUCAGUCACAAAUAUCCUCCAGUUGGUAUCCUUCCAACGCUUGCUCAACAGCUUUAAUUUCCCACUCCCGUCUUGUUAACUCCCAGAAGUUAAUAACUCCUGGGUCUUUGGACAAGUGCUCCAUCAUAGUGGGAGUUGUCAGCAAACAAGAAAGGACACUUCUAAAGGAAGAACAGGUGAAAUAACAAGAGAUACUGUUGUUCUGUGCAUUUAUUUUUGCAUGAGUCGUUCAUCAAAAAUGAAAAGAAUUCUUCUAGUACUUGACAGUAUUUAUCAUGCUUAGAGGGCAGUUUCAUCUGCUCAGUAAAAUCAGCAACUAAAAGUAGAAAGUUCUCAAAUUCAAGAUCAGAAAAAUUACUUCCAGUUUUUAGUCUGUUUACCCUCAUUCUUUAUAAAAAUCAGUUAAAACUGAUUGUGCUGUGAACUAAUGUGGAUCUAUACUGUUUUCCAACUCUAAAAAGUGAUGGAGGCUCAAUGACUUUUUGCAAAUAUAUAUAUGUAUAUACACACACACAUAAUAUAUAUGUAUAUAUAUAUAAAAAAAAAAAAAAACAAACACAGAACCUCAGAGACCUUGAUCUUUCCUUAUAGCUGGUUGGGCUAUGGACUUCCUGUUAGAAUAAGCGUUUCACUUAGCUUUAAGGUCAAUUGUAUUGUGAAUUGCAAUUUACUCUCAAUUUAUAUUAGCAUAAAUCUGUGUACUAUUUUAGAGCUCAGAUUUUACAUGAUGAAUGAAUAUCCUGUGAUCUAUUUCUUCUAUGUCUGUUCGGACUCACAGUAAACUCAUCAAUUCUGAUUUGCAGUUGAUGCAUUUAAGUGCUGCCAUUUCAACACUUCUCUAACAAUGUACUUCAUUUUGCUGAAUUGAAGCAUUGCAGUGGAUUUGAGGCACACUGACAACUUAUGCAAGCAAAUUAGAUGCCCUGUUUCUUAUUGGAAAUUAGACAAAUUUAACCUUUAAAGGUGGCAUGGGGCCUUUUCCUGAUGUCUUCACAUGAAAACAAAUAUAUUGUCAUUUAGCAUUUCCGUAAAAGUGAAAGAAUACGAGAGAACAGCAAAAUAAUUCUGAAGGUUAAACAUCAUAUUUGGUACAGUUUUGUUUUUGUUCUCUCCCUAUUGAGAGAGUGGGUAUUGGAGGAGGUGCUUUGCAUCUCCUCCCACACCGUUUCCCUGCUUCAUAAGCAGAAACGAGCAGUUGGUUUUUUCAAGUCUAGUGGUUAGCUGACAUUUACCAUUAGUUGAUGCUUUUCAUUCUAUCGUAGCAAGGAAAAGAGCUAAAAGUUUACUUUGAAGAACAAAGAUUAAAUCUUUACUUUUCUAAUGCUCCUGCAGUGGAGGGGCCUGCCACCAAGGUUUUGUUGCAUAAGGAGGGACGAAAAGAUGAAGUGCUGCACUGAAGCAGGCGACUGAGGAGUUCUGGCUUUACUGUUACUGUUCUGUCCACUGUACAACACUUCAUUGCAACUCCUGAUCAGCAGUACUGAUGUUAUUUUCUUCUCAGCCCCAGUCACUGAAGAAUGUAGUGUAGAACACUGAUUACAUUUCUGACUUGACAAACUUGUUAUUUAGCAAAUGCCAUAAAAAGCCAAAACUCCUGCUUAGAUACCUAUGAUUCAGUAACUGAUGUUAAAGGUAGCAGAAAUGAGGAAAAGCUCUAAGACACCUCACAGAAAACACUACAUUUCCAGAGCAAGGAAAACAUUAAACCCAGCUAAGACCUAUGCUGAAAAGGCAUCAUCAUCCCGCAAGCAACUGCACCGCAGUCUGGCUGUCCAACUUAAUUGUAAAAUAGACACAGAUACCGAUCUAAGCUUUGCAUUUCUGAAAUUUGUUGAAACAAACAAACAACAUAGUUAUGAAUUUUAAAUACAUGAAGUUCGUAUACUAAAGUGUAGAUAUGAUACAGUGGUGUCAUAACUGCUAUUUCAAUAACAGAGCACACAUCCUAAAAUUAUUUUCAGGCAAAUAGGUAUUUUGAAUUCAUACUGAAAAUACAGAGUUGGCUCUUCUCAAAGGCAAGCUCGUGCACAAAAAAAAAAAAAAAAAAACCAACCAAACAAACAAACAAAAAAAAAAAACAGGAAACCAGAGGUCAUCUAAUGAAGAAAAUUCCCCCCAAAUCAGGAAUUUGAAACAAGUAAUCUGUAGCCAUUAACAGCCCACUAAAACCUUCAGUGGGAAAUCAACCUCAGAAGUUAGCCAGCCAGCAAUACUGUGUUUAUUUAAUGGUCUUUUACAGAGCAGAAAUCCAGAGUAUGUAGGCUUUUAUCUGGUGAUAUUUACUCACAGAGUCUUAAAGAGGUAAUAUUAACAGGACUGCUGUAGAUACGAGAAGGAACUUGGAACAUGCAAUUACUGGAUGGCUCUGAACUUUAUCUGAUCUGCUUCGGAGUCACAGAAGAAAACCAUCCCAGACAGCUCAGUACAGAGAGUGUCAGAAAAUAGCACACUGAUUUUUUUCUAGGUGUAGGUCAGGACAUUUGAAAACAUACAUGACUAAGUAUGAUUUCUUUCCCUACAUCAGAGCUCUCAGGAUUGAGCAUCAUGUAGUCAAUUUUAAAGUUCAUACCAGCUCAACAUCCACAGAACUCAGUAGUGCAGCUGUUCACUGCACACCUUAAACAAGCAAAACUAAAACCUAUAGAAACAAGUCAAACUAAAAUCAAGGACCUAAAAUGAAGAAUUUCACGUAGGCAACUGGAAUAGAACAUGAAAACAACCUUUUCUCCAAGUCAGCAAGCUGAAAGCAUUAAGAGAAAAGCAGCUUGCCUCGAACCAUACACAAGAAGUCUUGAACAUUACUUCCUUUUAUUGUGUAUUGCAGUUACGGGGCACUAAAUUUUUCUAAACAGUAUCCAGAUCACACUUUCAACUCCAGCCAACAAACAUCCGAAUGUCACAGCAGCCUUUCAAGAGAGUUUCAGCACUGUGAGGUGUUUAAAGAAAAACUGAAAUGCUUCAAAGAGAUCAAAUAUCCUCCAGUGCUACCUCCUUGUUCCCUCAAAUUAAAAAUGGAAAGCAUCUUUUCUGGAAAGUAGGCAGAACCUAUUUUUAGAAAUAAAGGAACUGAAGAAAAGAGAAGAAAAGCCCCAAACUUUAAAUACUGAGGAAACCCAUCUGGAUGGACAGCUGUAUCUGUUUCUUUUUUGCAACGUAGUAAUUCAGAAAUGCACCAAAAGUAUUUUAGUCAUAAAUACUGAGUCAAAAAACAUUAAUUACUAAAAAUCAUCUUGAAAAUUCAUCUUACGGGAACAUGAUCCAACUGUCACCUUUGUUUCCUCAGUGAUGUAAGUAAGCUUUAAAAAAAAUUCAGAUGUGUGUGUUAAAGUACAUUUUUAAAAAAUCAAUAUCUUAGUAUGCAUACUAAAUCUUCUGAAAGAUUUUAGUGACUGUAUUUAGAAUUCAGACAUCAAAGGAGAUGCUGUAAUAGCCUAUAAUAAAACCAAGGUUUUACAAGUUUUUGUAUGAACUGAAGGGAAGGAUUCAGACGGACUGAUUUUUCUUCCAUAAAGAGCCAUUUUAGCUUUAUUAACAGAAUUCUCUCUUAUUUCAGUGGGUUUUUUGUUUUUUUGUUUGUUUGCUUUUCCAGCAGCACUCACAUGAGAGGAUUAAUUCUAGUUGUCACUACGCACAAACAGAGCAAAACAUCAGGUACACGUAUGGCUGCACAGACAGCAAAAUGCUUCUGGGCAAGGCUCAGGGGAUUAAAUGCAAGAAUUUUGCAUUGCUCCAGCCAUCUUUCUGUCCAUACAGAUACAGUUGUGACACUUAAUUGCAAAGAAUAAUUGCUACAUCUUUACUAUAGUCUACUUCUUUACUAGACAGCAUAAACAAGGGAUCUAUGUGUUACUGUAUUUCAGAGAGAGAAAGAGAGAGAAGUUUCGGCAAGUUUUUAUUGUGUGUUAUAAAGAGAGGUAUGUCCACAUUAUUUUUAUUUGCCUUUGGGGAAGGAGUUCGUGGCAAAUGAAAGAGGAGGAGAAGUCUUAGGCAGCGGUUGUUUUUCUUUUUUGCAGAUAGAUAGUAGUCUGAUAGUUAAGACUUGCACAGAAUAUUGAAAACCCAGGUUUCCAGGCCUUUCUCCAAAACUAACAGGACUCGGACAUUCCACAGCACACCAAAAACACCAGGCUAUCAACCAUUCUGGGGCAGCAAGGGGUCUUUUUUCUUUUCCUCAUGCAAAAGGCCUUCCCAGAAAAAUGUCCAUUGAAAAAUGUUACUUUAAGACAUCUUAGGUUUUCCCCACAGGAGGAAAAAGAGAUUAAAUUUUCAACCAGUUAGUUGCAGUUUUGUUUAUGCCUCUAAACAAGAGGGGAAAACCUCUAGCUUAAUGAGAAAAAAAAAUCCAAAUAUUCUCUCUACAAAGUUCUAGUAAUACCUUUAAUCAUAUUACAAGCUUAAUGCAUUACAUUAAUUCGUUCAAUUAACACAGUUGGACUUUAAGAUCAAACAGAGAAGAAAGAAGACUGAGAUCCAACAAAAGUGUGCUAUAAACAUACUGUUUAAGACAUGCCAAGUAUUAUUUUAUGCUUGAACCCCAACAAAAGGCUUUCCCCCUCAGACAGUUGGUGUUUUGUCUUCCUUGUUGUUAUUUUUAUUGUUAAGUGGUCACAUAUCAGUUCUACUGCUUUGUUAAAAGCACUCUAAUUUCUUAACUCUGUGCAUAAUAGUUCUUAGGACACACUUUCUUGUGAUGGUAAUAGUUGAGAACAAACUAUUUUACAGAAGAUCACAAGCAUCAGAAUGAAGUACACACUGGGCAGACCUAUCACAACAGUAGUACACAAAAAACUGCAGUGUUUGGUAUUCUUUUCUGCUCUGAAGGGUCUCAUGUCAGGUAGCGUAAACUAACUCACUUUCUUUGCUGUUGAAUGACUUUUCCUAGCACACUUCAUUUUAAUGCAGUUUACAUUUUAAAGAUCUGGAAAGACAGCUGCAGCCAUCUAAGGGCCAUGUAAAAUGCAGCUGUUACACACACUAUGGGACAAAGGCAACCAGUUUGGAGGACUCCUAUAUCUUCCCUUCCUCACAUACCCAACUAAACUCCAUUAUAAUUGGUGCAGUAUGAAGAAACUAGAAGAGGGCUAAUUGAGUUUAAAAGCUAUACAGUUGCAGCCUCAUUUAGGAAAUGCCUCCAGGCUUUCUCAAACAUUUAGUAAUACAACUAGAUCACAAAGCAAAGCGAAUAUUCAACUCUACAUACUCAAAAGGCAUAACAAAAAAAAUCCUUUUCUCUGUAUUAAGCCCGCACAAUCUUCUCCAACAAAGUACUUCUAGGAAUUUGAGAAUCAUCUCCUUUUUUUGUAUCCUGCAGGCUGAGCUGUAUACUGUUGACAGUGACUACAAAUGUAUGUUGCAAUAAUACAUCAUCAAGUGAAAUCAAGACCCUAUUUCAUUAGAUCUUGUUUAAAUAACUAUGCACAGGCAUAUAAUAUAUGUGAUUUUCUAGAAGAAAUGGCCACAGAUAGUUUGGGAACAGAAAAACUGUCCCUUGAUUCUCGAAGGGACUGAAGCCUAAACCACAUUUCCUGUAACACAAGGUGAUUCCUGUACACCAGAAGAUGACACGCAGCUGACAUGACAUAGGGAGGAAUUGAUAACACUGUGAAUUUCAAAAGCUGAGUUUGGAGAGAAUAACUAUGAAGCUGUUUCAUCCUCCUGCUUUUAUUUAAGCUAGCAUCGCUAAAAACAUUAGCGUUUUGUUUACACUGGAUAGUUCUGAUUGAGGAAGAUAUAGAUGAAAAUGUCACUAGCCCAGCUAUUCUGAAGCUUUCUUUGCUGUAUAUUUUUAAAAACAACACAGAUGAGUGUAAGUCCUAUCAUUCAUCUUUAAAGACAAAGUAAAGAGAAAAUCUAAGGCUGGUAUCAUCAGCAUGCAUCUCAAACCUUUAAACUAGGCCCUUCAGGUGCCAAUGGAGCAUGAACUGCAAUGCAAGCUGUAAAUUCAGUUCUCAGGUGAUGAAUUUAUGCAAGGUUUCCUAUGAUCACGGUUUAUACUGAAUUCAAGCUUUAUUAAGCUUUUACUGCCCUGUAAGAACAGCUCCAUGGAACAGCAGGAGAAACACCAGAGCUAAACAUCUAAAAAUGCUUCCAUAGGUGGUUUUUAAUUCUCCUCCAUAUACACACUGAAAUCUUAACUAUAAAGAAACAAAUUUGAUGAAUAGAAGCUUUUGACCGUUAGUUUAGUUACCAUACAUGUAGCUUUAGGUACUAGAUAAUUCUUCCCUUAUGUAGGAUUCAAGAUGUCAUUAUUAUGCCCUCAAGCCUAAGUGCCAAAUGAUUUUCUUGCUGUCCAAAAGCUAUAACACCACAUCACACAGCAGAAUAGGAAUUUGUAGAAUUCAGUGUUCAUGAUGGCAGCUGGGACUGCACUGCUACAUCAAGAAGGGAAUUGCACUCUCCUCAGAGUUUUAAUUGUUUAAAGAACACACUCAGAGCUUUUACCAGAAAAGUAACAACUAUGCUGGUUUCUUGAAGAAACUUGAGUUCAAAACGCUUACUAGAAAAAAAGUUGUCUAAGUGUAUCUCAUGCUUGCAUGACAUGAAGACUUUGUGUAUGUUCAUUUUCCAUUUAAAACUCAGUUGAGCAUGGAGAAUGGUUUCAGUUCAGAAGUUAUUCAGAAGUUACUUCUUAAAUAGGAAGUUAGUGCUAUACUUAAAUUUUUCUUUUAUUUUUGCAAAACCUUUUACUUAAGUAGAGAUUUUUCCAUUAACUCAUACUCUGAUCUUAAAGUUUGCAAAAACGUUAGCCAUUACUUCUCUCAAGUUGUCUUUUGCAUUCAUGUUAUUCCGUAGAGGGGUUUUGCAGCAAUAAUUGUAAGAAAAUCUAUUCAUUUCCAUUUGACUGAAUCGCGCUGUAUGACAGGGAAGUGACUACUUGCAACCUUGAUCCAUGUCAGCUAAAUACAGCCAGGCAAGCAUAAGUUCUUACCAUAAUGGUUCUCAUGCCCUCUCCAGCUUUUUCCAAAACCCAUAUACACCAUUAGACACACAUUUUUCUUUCCUGUACAGUUAAGGCACAGGAUUGUGGCUUACUAAAAAUUUCAUUAUUAUUCAUCUCUGCUGAUUCCUGUAGGAAUCCUGACUAUAGGCACCAGAUAGUAUUUGAAUACUAUCAUUUUUUUCUGAUCAGCGUGUGCACAUCUUCCUAUCACUUUUAAAUGCUCUCAACUAAACUGUUACUUAAUGCUUCAGCUUUUUAGUUUCCUGUACUUACUAUUCCACUUUUCAGAAGCUGUUUUUUUUCCCCCCUGUUGAUUAUGUUGUUACAGUAGUUUUCAGAGUACGCUUGAGGAGUACAUUCAGUACUGCCUUAAAGGCCAUAAAUUUUCCAUUUGAAGUCUCUGAAGUAAUAUCAGUAAUAGAUAAUGCCACGGUUAAGAGAUCAGUACCAGUCCAGUAUUUGUUUUAUGAUUCUGAUAACGUAAAUGAGGUUGACAGAAAUUAGUUCAUAUGCUGUUCAAAAGCUGAUAGUUUCACAUCUGUUAACAUGGGCGAAGAUAUGACCAUUUCUGAAAUACUUUAACAUUUCAAUUUCAAAAUUUAUUCACGUCCUGAAAUCAUCUGAUAAUUCUGAUCAUUAUGAAGACCAUUAAGAUCAAGAAGAUGGAAGAAAGUUGAUGCAAAUACACUGCAAUUUUUUCUUCACCAUUUACUCUAAGUUUUCUCCUCAGAACAAGUAGAAACUUUUAUAGGUGAAGAUCACAUCCAUGGAAUAAAAACACCAGGCUUUUCUCUCUCUGUCUGCAACACCUCACAAGUACUAGCACUUUGGUUUGUGAGAAGCUGUUACGAUACUCCAAAGCUUUUCCAGGCACUUAUUAUUCUUACAGACACUUCCAGUAGAUUGAAAGUGAUUUCAGCAGCGGUGCUUAAUUUCUAGGUAAAUCCUAGUUUUCUGUGGCUUUCAAAAAUGAGGGGAAGUCGCAGCCUACCAACCAAAACGUUGCCAACAUGGGUGCUAAGAAACCACCAUUUUCCAUAAAACACAAGCAGAACUCCAGUACUCAGUCACUUCCAACAAUAUUUUCAGCAUUCCACAAAUACAAAUUCGAUGGUUUCAGCACAGUAACAUGAGCUCAUUUCAUCUUACAUGGAGAGAAAGACAAAAAAAAAGUUUACCCCCAAAUUCACAUCUCAGUGUGAGUAACAUGUGAUAAACCAUGACCUAUAUUGACAGGGACACAAGUCUGCAAACAGAAUUUGGGAAGUUCAACACAUGAAGUCAAACCUCUCAUUAUUGGAAGUGCUUAAUUUGUCAGUAGUGGAUACACACUAGGCUGUCUUAGUGAGUAUUAAUAAACAUACCGACAAAGUGCAAUCAUGUUCAUCGGAAAGGAUUUUCUAAGUAAUGAUUCCUGUGAUAUAUCAAGGAAAAAAAAUCUAAGGUAGGAACCAAAAGUUCAAGAAAUCUUAUUUUACUGUUUGCGUUACUAUUUCUGUUGUGCUAUCAAGCAAAAAAAUGGAACAAAAAACAGACCUAAGUACAUUGGUAGGAUAAUGAAAGAUGAAACUAGCAAUAAAUAUAAUAGGAGGAAUUUGCACUUGAGUCGAGGUAAUCCCAUAUAUGCAUACAAAAUAGGAGAAAAGCUCCUUCAGAGUAGCCCUGCUGAGAAGGACCUUAAGGGUUCUGGUUGAUGAAAAACUUAAUGUGAACCAUCAGUGUGCACUUGAAACCCAGGAUACCAUUGGUAUUCUGGGCUGCAUCAGAAGAGGGGAGGCCAGCACGGUAAGGGCCGUGUUUGUACCCCUCUAUUUUCCCUUUGUGAUGCCCCAUCUGGAGUACUGCAUCCAAGUCUGAGUCCUCAACACAGAAAAGAUGGGGAGCUGUUGGAGAGGGCCCAGAGGAGGACCACAGAGAUGAUCAGAGGGCUGAAGCACCUCCCCUGUGAAGACAGGCUGAAGGAACCAGGCUUGUUCAGUCUGGACAAGAGAAGGCUACAGAGAGACCUCAUUGCUGCCUUCCAGUAUUUAAAGGGAGUUUAUAAACAUGAGGGAAAUCAACUCUUUGCAAGGGUAGAUAGCAAGAGGACAAGGGGGAUGGUUUUAAACUCAAGGAGGGGAGAUUUAGCUUAGAUAUCAGGGGGAAGUUUUUCACUGAGAGAGUGGUGAGGUGCUGAAACAGGUUGCCCAGAUAGGUUGUAGAUGCUCCAUCCCUGGAGAUGUUUAAGACCAGGUUGGAUGAGGCCCUGGGAACCUGAUAUAGCACUUGAUUUAGCAGCUGGCAGCCCUGCCUGGGGUAGUGGAGGUGGAACUUGACUAUCCUCCCUUUCCAUUCAAGCCAUUCUAUGAUUCUAUCAAAUAAAGAAAAGCCAUGUUUUCACAAAACCUGUAGACCAAAGACCCAAAAUGUGGUUAUUUUACUCUAGACACUUAUGAAUAACAGCAGUAAAUGAAACGAUGAUCUUUACAGUAAAGAAGACGGAAACUGUGCAGCCUUAGAGCACGCUACAAGGUUAUACUAGUUUCAUUUCCUAUUGGAUGUUUAUAGAAAACUUCACCUUUAUAGAUUUUGAGAAACCUGUUCUAGAGGGAGAUGCCCCUGCCUAUAGCGGGGGGUUGGAACUAGAUUGAUCUUAAAGGUCCCUUCCAACCCAGACCAUUCUAUGAUUUACUACUUACAGAUGUAGUUCUAGUUAGGACUACUUGGACUUCCUGACAAAGACAUAUUAUUUAAAGUCACUAAACAUAUCUAUGAAGAGCUCCCUCUGCCUUCUUUCAAAACUAGGAAGUACUGAUUGCACUCAUUCAGAGUGGUUUAAGUGAAAAUUUUCUUCACUCCUAUUCAGAAGGGAAAAAUCACAAGACUGCUGCUUUCACUUGGCCAAUGUACCUUUGUGUAUUUUAUUGACUGCUGUGAUCAGACUUCCUUUCAAAACCAAAGCAGUCAGAUUUCUUUCUGCACAUCCUAGUAAUCGAUUUUGAAAGAUCCCGAGUAGCUAUAUAACUGUACAGGAUCAGGAGAAAAUCAUCUGAUCAUUGCAGAUUUCUAGUAGUUAGGAGACCCUGGAUAACAAAUACCAGAUGAAGACAAAUUUCAAUAAGUAACUUCUGCUAAACCCCAAGCUUCCUAAAUCAAUGCAAUAGCCUUAUUUUCUUCACUUUUAUUCACUUCUGUAUAAAAUAGAUAAAUUUCAUCUUUCUUCUAGCAGAGAAAUAGGCACUGAAUUUUAGGUAUGAUUUUUUUUUUUAAGUGAGAAGAAGGCGGCAUACAUAUGUGCAUGUAUUUACCACACUUGGAGUAUGAAGCUUGUUUCAGAAAACAGUCUUUAAAAAAAAAAAAAACCAACAUUGCUUACCUAUGUCUUUAGCAAAUACAAAUAUUACUAUUUUUUAUUUAUUCACAAAACUAAGUGGAUUUUAAAUUUGUUAGCCCUGUGUGAAUAUUUUAAGAGUCCAUGCACUUAGUCUAAAUUGGAAACAGCUAACAUACCUUGUAUAAUACCAGACUUGUCUACAAUGAGCCAGUCUAAAUGAAAAAAACGCAAUUUACAAAGGCUUCAUUCUUUUGUUUGCAUUCUAGCAGUAUAAUGAAGUAAUGUGUCCUGCUAGAAAUCGUGGAGUACUUAAAACAAGUUCCACUUACAGAGCAUUUCUUCUCUUCUGAAAUACAUACUUAAAAAUGCUUCACAAUUAACAUAUUGUAUACAUUUUGCAAGGCCCUCAAAGAUCAAGAAUUGUAUCUGGAAAGACUCAGUCCAAUCUGGCAAACAAUUACAGCAUACAUUACACUAAGGUGCAUUAAAUGCCUGGCUGCUGUGAGGGUACAGAAACGUGCUUACUCACAAUCGAGUCCAAUAACCAAAACAAAGUCAGUUACAAUUUAAAAUGGAAGUUGAAAAAGAAAAGAAAAAAAGGAGAGACAGGGGAAGGACAACAAGUCUAAAAGGCUGUGGACUUCACACCAGCAGAGUGGAAACAAAUAGAAUAUUAUAGCUGGGAUGCAGUCACAGGACUCUGUGCAACUCUGUUACAGCUCAACACCAAUAGCUUCUGGUGAAAUUAGUUCUGUGUGCUACUUCAGUGAAAGUAUAAAGAACCACAUUCAAAAGCCAGCAGCACAAAGAAAACAUAGUCAUGACUAUUCACAAUAGAGAAUUCUGUACUGAAUGUGUGAACUGGACAUGGGUUAGGCAAAAUGCAAGCAGCCUCCCUUUGCCUGGGAUUUUCGUAGCGAUGCAAGCCAAGCAAUCUAAACAGUAAUGUCUGUCUGUAUUAAGAGGAAGGGAAGAAAUAAAACUCCACAGCAACAAAAACUGCAUUCCCUGUGGAAGAAUGGUAACUUGGGACAACAUUUGGCACCACAAGUUCAAAGGGUCAUUUUAUCAGCAUUCUAAGUAUAGACCCAGAGAUUUUACAGUAUUCCUGUCUCCAUGCUAUUGCUUUUUAUGCCAUUCAUGGCGUUUAAAUUAUAGACCCACUGCAGCCAUGUAGUCAAAACAACACAUCAUCUGAUGAGACACUAUUAUAAUGUCAGUGUGCCUGUUUUAACUGUUCUUUCAUAUACUGUACUUCUCAUCAAUCACUCUCUUUCUCUGCCAAAAAAUGGAUACAAGAGACGAUUUUAUCUUCAGACUCCACUGAAAUUUUGUACUCCGACAACUGCAAUACUUCGUUCAUCACAUAAUCUAAACUCCCAUUUACACUCAUGAAAUAUUUAGAGGUACAAAUAAUACCAGGCUAGAUGAAAAACCAUUUGUGGAGAAUUUAAACUGCAAAUCCAGGGUAUUUUUAGGGAGUCAGUUUAAUUGAAGCACAUUACACUAACUUCUAAACUAAACGCCUGAUCAAGUAUUUUUAGUGUGUGGUUUCAGUAUACAUUCCAAAUCUACUGGAACACUAUAUUCUAGAGGCAAGUUAUUGGCCUGUACACACACAUAGUUAUAUAGCACUUUGACAGCAUCUUUAACAGGAAUAUAUUCCAUUUCUAAACUGUUCUGUGACAGAAUUUGAACUUUUCCUAAAUGAUCCUGAAAAGUUAAAAUAACUCAUAUGAAGUCAUUAAUGGAGCUACAUACAGAAUCCAAAUUUGGUCUUGUGUUUAAAGCUUUUUCUUCUCAAAAGUGAAAAGAAAGCUGCUUCAAGGUCACAAAACAUUAUUUUUGGGGUGGGGGGGGGCAGGGAGGGAAGGGUAGUUCUGCUCCUUUAAGCUGGUCUCCUGUCUCUGCUGGCAGCCCUCAAACAGCUAGCUCCAUUCAACAUGAAAGAGAUUAUUUAAGAAUGCUCUAAAUUUCCUAAUGUUUCCUAUUUUCUGCAAUUCCACAUAUGUGCUAUUCAUCAGCUCAAACAUUCAAAUCUCAAUGUUGUGUUUUAAAGUAUUUUCACUAAGAAAUAAAAAAAAGGUUUUUAAACUGCAGCUGAACAACAGUUUUAUUGACAUAUUUCUAAUGCCUUAUGCAAAUGAUUUUUUGCUGAUUGAAUGUAUAGUUUCAACUCAGAGGAGCUAAGUAUCAGGAAUCCAUUCAGUUUUUUGAGCAUGUAGCCAACUUACCAAUCCUAACUACAGCAACUGAAUAUAUUCCACAGUUCAGUUGAGCUUUUACAUUUUUUUUUUCCAUGGGGCUGGGGAGGCAGCAUACUUUCUCCCCCUGGAGUGUUGAAAUCAUUUCCAUUACAAAGGAAAACCGUUUUUGAUACUUUACAACUGACCUUGCUAGUUUUAUUCUACUAUUUUUCCCCUACAAUUUCAUGUCUUUUUCUCUUCCUUUGCACUCCAUUUUAAACUUCAUCCAAAGAUUACAAUUGCACAGAAGAGUAUAAAAGCAAAAUAAAACUCCCCCAGCCCUUCUCAAAAUGAAAUACAUUACAGGUGCUGGAGAAAGUUAUGCAGACGUGAAGAUCUCAGACCACAUUCUUUUUUCCUUAAACAAAAGCUCUCAAACAGCUGACAGAAACACGCAGAAGUAGAUCUACUUUUUAAAGUCUUGGGCUGUUUGAAAUAUUUUUACUGACAAGUGCUUCUGACUAAGUUCCACAAAGCCUUACUGAAGCAUACUGAGAAUGGUUGAGAUUAGACACUCCUGAAUUAAGUGAGAUUGGAAAGGACCCCAGUGCCUUCGCUAGUCCAAAGUCCUGCUUAAACCAGUGCAAAAUCUGACAUCAUCCUGUGCUGGCAGCUCAUCUAACCAUAUUUUAAAAAUUGCCAAGGAUGGAGAGAUGUUUUUCUUGGUGUUCAACUCCUUCAGUUCAAGGGGAAUUUACCCUUCAACUAACUGUAUAAAUACAAGGUAUUCUCUUCAGAUGCCUGACCUGCUUUAAAAGCCAUGGUUUUAAAAGACCACCACAUGCCCAUAAUUUACAUUUCACAUGUAAGAAGAGAGAGGUUACUGGAUGAAUACUAGAAUAUUGUAUCCUGUAUCUUCUCUAAUAUCAGGUCCAUUUUUGAUCUUACUGAUGUGCUUCUGUUGACAUCGUCAGUAAAAAUUCAUAGUUGUGGCACAAAAACAGGGAGAAGACUGCAUUUAAACACAAACCAAAACCAAAUGAGAAUGAUCUGCACCCUCUGCAUCCCUUCUUACGAACCAGCAAGAUGUUUAUACUUAGUUUGCUCUGAAAGUAAUGCCUCCUACUUCAUUCCACAGAAAUUACAGGAGAUACGAAGAGCACAAUAACUAUCUGAUAGAGCCAAGUUUCAGCUACUAAACACCAUUUUUAACACAGUCUCCACCAUUUGCUAUGCAUUUUUGCCAGCAAUGAAUAAGAGCCUGAAUGCUUCAGUUGUAAAAACCAGCACCAGCAGAAGUGUCCCACUGUUUCACAGCUGCUAUGACAUCAUUGCUAGGAAAACACCAACACAGUCCAUCUUUCACUGGCCUGAACAGAUGGAAUUCAGAAGGUGACAAAUCCAGACUGUACUGUGGGUGUGGUAGGACAGUGCAGCCAAGAUUGACAAUGCUCUCCAUUGCUCCAUUGUCUUCAAACUGGUAUAGGGCCUCAUCGGAUUGAGUUACAAGAAAAAGGUUGUCUUCUUCUCUAGCCUGACUCAGGAAGUUCAAGUCCUCAGCUUAGUCAGCGUCACGAUGCAGCAGUCAGCACUGAUGGUUUAGCCAGGUUACAAAAAAUGCAAAAUGAUCAUCCCUUUCCUAUCCCAAAAGACAGGCACAUCACUUUACCCACUAAGGGCUGUAUCUGGAACAUUUUUUUCAAUGGGGAAUUUCAAUGUCCACUCGAUGGACUGCCAUUUUGACCUCAGCUCAUAGAGGUGACAGCAGGUCUCAUCACUGGUAAUGGUGUGACCCAGAAAACUCAUCUUCAGCCUCACUUUGGUUCAAUAGGUCCUGAAAAAUUUGCAUACAUGUUCUUUCUAUUGUUGUGUGUGCAUUCGUGGCACCCAUCUGGCACAAAUACUGCAAUACUUCAACAUUGCCACCAUCAUUUCUAAUACACUAAAAGCUCAUAUUCAGCUCCAUACCCGGGUCCCCACUCCUAAUCCACUGAUUCACCCAGAUGAGCUGAUCAAGAUCUAGAUUCCUCCUACAUGGAGGAAUUCAAAGACACACCUUUGCUUCAUACGCACUUCUAUGUCAGAUGCCUUUGCCAGAGUGCCCUUCUGCUGCUGUCUGUCACACAGCAACAAAAUGUAACUGAAUAAUUGGUGGGAAAAUUCAAGCCUCUCCUUUAGUACCACCAACAUCCACCUCUGCUGUCAUGGGCCAACAUAAGAUAGGAGGCAUUACUUUCAGAGCAGCCCUCAUAUAUUCAAAAAUCCAGCCAUACAUAUUUUAAUUCUUUCCUUUCAAGUAUCAGGCAGCUACAUUUUUACAUGUGAUGGAACUGAAUGGGACAUACAGUACAAACAAGAAGUCAGCUCUGGGCUUUUCACUUCUAAUAAUCAAAUUCAUAAGACCGCAGAGAAGCUUGUAGCAGGGAUACCACCCUCAUGAUUUUAAAAUGAGGUUGUAGAUUUUAUGUUAUGAAAAUUAAACAAAUGAGAACAAAAUUCAAGAUAUUACAUUAGAGUUUCCAUAUCAAUUUAAUAAUUACUUUUAUAAUCAGACGAUUUACCACAGAUACUAUCUAGAGUAUAAAUGAAUUAGCAUAAUGCAUGAACUGAUUUGCUGAGCUUGUCCAGAGACCACUUUUUAAACUGCAGACUUUGACACACAUUUUUAAUAACAUCCUUAGCAGUUAAAACGUUAUCAAGUUUCAUGAUCAAGUUCCUACAUCCGAUAUGAAAGAAAUAGAGACCCAUUUUAUCUUCUUGGAGUGCAUUUUUGCAACGUAUUUGAGUUUGAUCAUUAGAGUAUAACUGGAGUCAUGUUUUUGCUUCCAACCAAUAUACCCCCACUGAAUAGCAGAGGAGUCCCACUGUUCCCAUGGGACAUAACGUAGAACAAUGCUGCAGUGAUGGAAUAAGAUGCAGGGAAGGUGGAGGGAUGAAAAAAAGAAACAAUCAGUAUCCUUACCAGGCCUGCACCAGGCAGUAUCCAUCUUAGUCAUAAUACCUCUUCAACUACACUUCAUAAGCUAUUGCACAGCACACCUCUCACAAGAAUAGGCAUGUUUUCCAUGUUUCCACGCUUGUCUCAUUUUACAUAACCAGAAUUUGUUCACCCUCACUGUCUCAAUAUAAUGAAUGAGAAAUCAAAUGAGUCAGCAAGAUUCACACCACUGCACUUUUUCCUAACCAGUUUUUCCAAGAAUCCCCAAAGGCAUCAAGAGAGAUGUGGAUUGUUUUUGAUUACCUGAUCUUACAAAGAAGCAAACAAGUCCAAGAACUAUUAGCAUAACAUUUCAGUAAUAAAUUUACAAUGCAUUCAAUGAGGUGAACAAAGAUAAAGAAGCUCAAAACACAGUUGACUCCUUCCGAAGCCUAUUAAGAAUUGUUUGGUAAAAAGGAAAAACCUUUUUUUCAGGUAGACUAUAUUUGAUAUACUUAGAAUAAGUUGAACUUUGUAGAUCAUCAAGGCUUAAGGGAAAACUGGUCCUACACUAGUACUUCUUCAUAUUAAUAAUUUUAAAACAAAUAAUUUAUCCCAGAGCUGUUUCCUAUCAGUUUUACUCCAAUGAAGAGCUCGUAAGUUAGCAUGCUCUCUUCAUCUAGGCCAACUACUUGCUGGCAGAAUGAUAAGCAGAAAUAAAAACCAAAAGUUCCAUGUAAAAAAUAUUUUAUCUUCUCCAAUUUGCUUUUGGUGUGGCUUAGCUAAAAGCUAUUUUACAUACUAAAAACCCUUCUUAAUCCCUCAAACUCAGAUAUUAACAUUUUCAGCUAGCGAAGCCACUUGCGUUAAACUAUUUUUAUAAAUUAGGUGCCUAGAAUUUGCAGUCGAAGCUAAAUUCUUUAAUCAUGGAAACAGACUUUUCAGUUCUGAUUCGCCUGCUAAAUCUCUUCCUGGAGAACUAUCCAGCAGGAGAAAAUGCAUCCUAUGUACAGAUUUCUUGGCUGUACUGUCACAUAUCACCAGGAGCCGUCACUUCAGCAUAAGGAACAUCAAAUUAUGCCUAAGAGGAAAGCAGAACAGCCAGUAAAGAAUAAGACGAGUCAGCUUAAUCAAGCUCACAAUCAUUACAUCUUUUUUGUUAGAGAGGAGAAAACAAAAUAAAACCCUGAAGACGUAUUAGCGCAACAAAGACUGAAGUUAUAAAAAUUACAAAACAUUGCAAUUACCUUCCAAGCAUCUAUACUCAACAUAUCCAUUGAGAUUUAUGUCUAGGCAGCAAUAUAUACUGCAUAGAGAACUGUGCACAUAAGAGGACUGCCAGAAACCAUCAGAUUUGAAAGAGCUCCUAAAGUCAUCAGGGGAAUGAGAGUCAAGAGGUAUAGAACUGCAGCCACAAAGGUAUGGAUUUAGCGUUGCUGCCUUCUACCAUUAGGAGGAACUCAAUAACUUUUCUCUCAGCUAACAAAGGAAUAAGCAGUUUCUGCUGCUUUCCUCUGAAGAAAUAGCUUUCACAGCCAAGGCAUGGAGGACCUGAAUUCAAAUUCCAACUUCAAUGAUGAGAUUUUUGAAACCCAAUCUACUCCCUAUCCACUACCUGGUAUGUCAGUGCAAGGAAUGCUCUCAAAUGCUUUCUCCAUAGGUUUCAGCACUUUGCAAAGAGCAACUGAGUAUUCACUUGGCAGCAAAGAGUAUGCCCAGCUACAGUGUAGUAACUGAGCCACCAGCCUCCCUUGUCUUGGGCAUUUGCUCCAAUGCCUGCCUGCUUGCAGCAGCAGAAGUGCCAGGGGAGGGAGCUGCAGGUGCCUGCAACCAGCUGUGCAAGGAGUACUGAAGUGAGGCCAGCACCAGUCUGGCCCAGGCUCUGGGAAACUCAUUUGACGGAUGCCCUGGCGACCAAGGCCUUUGGGCAACUCUGUGGUGAAAUAAACUCUGAAUAAGGCUUUUGAGGACAGUUGAUUCAUUUAAGUACUCUGGCCUAGCACCUAAACCAGCUGUGGCAUAUAUUUCAAGAAUAUAAAGCAGCUUGAUAAGGCUUCAUUAUUCUCAUUUUUUAAUGGUGGUUUUAAAUGACUAAUAUAAAUUAUUUGCUUACUGUAAGUGUGAUUGGAAAACUUAUUCUGUUCUUAUACAAUCACAUUUAUCAGUAUUCUUUUAAAGAUCCAAAGAUUCUCUAGAAACCAGAAAUGUAAUAAAGAGGCAUUCAUGGUUGUAGAGAUUUGUUGGCACAUUAGCAUUACUUAUUCUGAGCUUCAUUUUUAGUUUCCAGUAUGCCAACUCUGCAUAGAUAUCAUCUCUGUGGUGGGAGCAGGGUGCAGCUGAACAGCUUCAUAGAUAUUCUGCUGGUUGGUGGUGUGUUACAUGUGCAAAGCAGUUUGGUGUUGCUAUUUAGACUUGAUUGGCAGCAAAACACUUCUUGUUUAAAAUAGAAUUUCCAAAUUCACUAAACACAAGUCUUGGCAAGUGAAGAACUGAAUGUCAAGUACCACAGUAGAUGAGCAUAAAGACAUUGCAUACAGUACAAGAUACCAAAGGAAAUUAAAUAAAACCUUGAUGCCAUUUGAGUCCAGUUCAACUCUUUAACCACACAGGAUGGCAAGAUGUUUGUUACAUAACAGCAAAUUCAGAUGGCUUUUUUUUUCUUUUUUAAAUCCUGCCAUUUUUAUAGCAAAGAGCAGAGGAUUAGACAUCCACAGACUCUGAGAGACAGAGAGUGGAGCCAGAAGCAAUAUUUAGCACAGAGUGAAUGAUUCCUGGCAUCGUUUAACUUCUCUACAUCAGGAAUCUGGCAGCCUCUUUUCAAAGAUGCUGAUUGAAUAGUUAAUAUCAGUGUUAUGCAUAGGCUCAAAAUGAGCACAAAAAAAUGAAUGUCUAGGACCUAAGCCCCCAACUUACUUUCAUCUCUCUAUAAAAUACAUACAUACAUACAUAUACACACACACACAGAAAAUGGUGGGGGCAGGGUGGAAAUACCGGGCAGAAUGCCAAAGCCAAGAGAAUGCAGACAAAGGGCAUAGUUCAUCUUCUGACUACACAUCUGUGAAAAAAACCUUUAUACAAUAUAUAUCAAAUUUUUUAGGCACAAGAAAGCCAUAAUGCAACGUAAACUGCUAGUUCUUAAUUUUCACCAGACAGCAUAAUCUGCAAAGUAUGGAAUUUUUUUUUUAGUCAGUAGGAUUAUCCCUGUUUUCUCUCAGAACUGUAAAGCUCUAGCAAGUCUUUCUAAUCAUAAAGAUAGCACAUUUAUAGUCUUUCACCAUACUUAGGAAUUUUGAACUACUGAAACCACAACUAAUCACCCACCAAGCCUGCAUGGAAAUCUGCUGAUCAUUUAAGAAAAGCAGCCUUGUUUUGUUGCCAAAUGUCAAAAUGCAACUAAGUGGUGAGAUGCACACACUGAUUACUCUUGCACUCUAACGUUUGGCAGAAAAAUAUUUAUGCACACACAAGGACGUGUUUAUAGACUUGCACUUUGAGAAAACAUGAAAGACGACAAACCAAAUUGGUUGACAUCCUUAAAGGGGAAGAGGCUAGUAAAAGAAUAAAUACAUUAUACUGGGCCAUAUAAAAUGGUCCAUCAGAAGCACGCUUUCCACAAUUGAGUUUUUUUUUUUAAUCCAUGCAGUGAAAUUCUUCCCGUUUGUCUGACAUAAUCAAGCACCUGAAAUGCACUUUUAGAACUAAUCCAGCAGCAUAGGCCCAACCUAGGUGAGGUUUCUCAGAUGUGGGACCAACCCAACCCACUUUCUCAUUUACUUCAUCUUCUCAAUCACGUGUAUGCACAACUACAGGGAAUUAGAUUUGUUUACCCCAAACUAAUACAAACAAGUUUGCUAAUGGAACAAACAGUGCAUAACUAUAAUGGCUGUUCCUUUUUUACUUGAAGUGGAUUAUUUCUCUGCUUAUCCCUCAAGAUACUGGCAUGGCACACUCAGUCUGUACAGACCCAUUUUGGCCUCUUGUUCAGCUAUAGCUUCAUUCAUGAUCAGCUUUCACAGUUUUUUAUUUCAUCCAGUAACUGAAGUUUGAAUGCUUAGGAGGCAUAGCUGCCUAUUUAACUCUGUUUCAAGGUUUUCCUUUGUCAUAUUUGCUAAAUAUUUAGUUCUUCCUAGACUACUUAUUCUCCACCUCUUUUGAUUUUGCAAGGCUAUGAAGGACCAUAUAUCUUCAGUGCAUAGAGAUAGUUGAUGUCUGAACAGAGCGUGUGGCAUGAAUAAAAGAACCCAGAGGGAAAUGAGUUUCAAGAUCCUAAUUUGAACAGCAGGCAGAAGUCAAAAUCAGGGUUUGAAACUGCCCAAGACAGCAACUGUUAAAGUGCUUUCACUAAGUCCUACUCUCUUUUUUUCCCCAGUGAGCUCUCAUACAACUAUCUUGAAGCAAAGAAGCUUGUAUGUGUGCAAACACACCCAAGCUCUUGGCCACUUAUGUUUCUGCUGAUCUGUUUUAGGGGCAGCAUGUCUAACCUGAAAUUGUUUGCUCCAUAACUUCUCAAAAAGAAAUUGCUGUAAUGAGUUUGACUGAGGAUGCGACAGCAUUGCUUAUGUUCUCUUUUUAGAGGGCAGCCCUGUUGUUUUCUUCCACAUGGAAUUAGUUUCCCUGAUAUGCACAUAUGCAGAUCUUCCUCCCAAAAAAGUUCAGCCAUGACCUUUCUGUUUCUAUUCUGUCACCAUGUGCUGAUAAAAUCCAAAUCUCAUCCAGGGAGAAGGAAAAAAAAAAAGGGAAAACACACACCCAACAAGAAGUGAGUUUAUAUAUAAAUAUUUUCAAAAGACUUUUAUACUAUAUAGGUAAUCCAAUCUAAUUGCAAACACCUUAAGGAGAUUCUGUUUCUAAGUUUCAGAUACACCAUCCAAGAUAUGUGUUUGAGAGUAAGCACUGGAAGGAAGGCAAAGAGCAGGAGAGUGAAAAAGUGACAAAGCUAUUACAGAAAUGUGGUAGCGCUACCUUUUUAUUAUUAUUAUUUUUAAAUUCAGCAGGAGUUUGUCACAACUGCAGUAGCCCACUGACUCAUUUUACACUGAAUAAUUUCCAGCAUUUCCAUGUAAUCACAUCUCAGGUACACAUACUGAAGACAAUUUUCCCACGUUGCAAGCAUAAGUAUAUAGAAGAGGAGAGCAAGAAAGACCAAUAAGCUUCUGCUCACCUUGGCCCUUACAUUACUGAAGGAUACUUCCCUCUCCAAAAAUCUGAGAAAUUCACUGCCUCUGCACAGAGGAAGGAGAAGACUGAAAGAACAGAACUGACUCAGACAAGCACAAUAAUUUCAGCUUCCAUUUUAUAGUUUGCAAAUUUUUGUGUAUAUAUGUCUUUCUCAAGUAGUUUGAAUGAAAUACAAGCUCCAGAGGGAAAAAAAAAAAAAACAUGAUCAAUUUAUCUUAUUUAAUCUCUUGUUGAAGUGCUUUCAUACAUUUAGGAAGAAAAUAGAUCUCAGGAACAAUUUCUUCCUAAAUUUCCUUGCAUUUUUUGCCCCAGAAGUGAGGCAAAUCAGUAUUUUGACUACUGUUAGUUCUCAUUCCUUGCUUCACUAUAUCUUACAUUAGGGAUGCUAUGAACAGCUAACAGCACACAACAAUAAUACUAAACUCUUAUGCAAGAUACAGCCUAGACCUUCAUAUGACAGUUAAGCAUGAUCCACAUUUCACAAGACAAAUGAGAUCCGGUGACAAGAACAGACUGGUUACAUGCUUUCUUUGGUCAUGUUAUAUUCUUUCUUUCAUCCCAUUCAGUAAUUCAUUUCUUCAUCAGUCUUGUAUCCUCUCUUACGUAGCCUAAAGGGAUGGUAUGUGGAACCUUAAACCAGUUUCAAUCAAUGGGAUGAGGUCAGCCUUGAGAUUCAUGUGACAGGCAAGAUUAAAACGUGCUUGCCCCAAGUCUAAGCUGUCUGAAUAAGGCACCAUGUUAUGCUGCCUCUGCUUGUUGUCAGGUUGAAUUGAAAACAAAAGUUAAAUUAAAAGACAGCCAGAUCAUUAUUUCUCCUUUCUGCCCCUUCCUCAAGCGCCUAAGGUCAUUUUCCCUAACAAAAACGAAAGCGCUUGUUGGAAGUGUUUUUGUGCUAAACAGCAGUGGUUAAUUUCUUGCAACUAAUUAGUUAUUCAAGUGAAAGUAUAACGAUCCUCCAACAUGAUUGAAAGUGCUUCAACCAAGUUUCCUGCUAACAGCAUACUUCUAGAGAAGGUGCAAUAAAUCAGCAGGGUUAUGGAAAUCUUUAAACAAAGCAUGUCUACGACAGGAACCCAUUAAAGAUGUAGCCAUGUAAUAUUUAUGUACCUAGCUGACUUGUGCUUUUAACCUAGCACUUUCAGCCAUAGCUUUUUAGCACCUGGGUCAUUCACUAAGAAUGAAAUUCACCCUAUCUGCUAAAAGCCAGCUUAAUGUCUCUGCAUUAGGUGUCCAGACAUAGAGUUUACAUAGGAUUUAAGCAGGGGAGCCCUCCCACUGAAUGGAAUUUCAUCCUGAGUUUUCCAAAGAAAAAUACAAAUAGAACACCUUUACACUGUGUAGUAUUUAAUUAUUGAAUUAAACUCCCCAGUUACCAUUAGAAGGGUUUUAGAAAUACCAUGAGGUAAGGAUGUAAAAAAAAGCCAACAACAAAAACAAAAGAUCAUGAACAACUGAAAUUCCCACAGUCUCUCAGAACAGCCAGUGUCACCCUAUGGUUGUAUAGAUUAUGGUUUUAUUAUUAUUUUUAGUGGUUACAGAGGCUGAUCUCUAAACCUGAUGCUCUCCGUAAAGGUGCUGACUGCACUGGAAUCUUUUUUGACAUACUACUAACCAGUACAGACUGGAUGUUUAAAUAUGCCCAGAAGUAGAAAAGAGCAAGACUCAGUUGUGUGGAAAUACAUUUUUAUUAUGUUUGGGCCUUUUGGAUGUUACAGAUGUAUAAAUCUGAUAGCCUUAGAUCUCCAAAAGAAAGAGAAAUCCUCUUUUCUCCCAUCAUAUUCUACUGCUUGUGCUGUGUGUUUACACGAAUUUUUAAAACACACACAAGCACAUGUGAAGCAAAGGCAAUGUUUUCAUAAUCCCCAAAUCCUUUGGCUAUACAUGUUUUCCCUCAUCUGAUUCUGUCAUUUACUUUAUUGCCAGUCUUUUAAGUUCAUCUCCCACAGUUUUAAGAGACAGAACUUGGAUUCAUUAAUCAGUUUCAGUCAAGGUCCCAAAACUUGGGUUUUUUUCUCCCCCUUCUCCUGGCUUACUCUUCUGUCCUGCAGCAGAUAACUACAAAAAGGAAAACCUCACUGCUGUGAGGCUGGAAGAUGGGAGCUUCAAGAAAGUGUGUAGGAAUGAUGUUUCCCGGGAGUCUGGGAAAGGGGAGAAAGCAAAGAGGAUAUAAGAAAUUAGCAGGAAAAAGGGACUGAAGGACAAAAGAGAUUAAACAUCACUCUCCCUUCCUAAUAACAUCAUCUUUGCUCUCACCAUAGGUUUUUUGGGCCAAUGACUACUUUCAACUCACACUUUCUGUUGGAAAAAUAAAUUAAGAGUCCAGUUUAAUUUUGUCAGUAGAAAGUUUAAAGCGGUCACUGGAGCACAAAGUGCUUUUCAAAAGGCUGCUGAACUGAACAGGGACAAGGAGGAAGAUGCUGGGACAGCCACAAAAGUACAGACAAAUUGAAAACACUAUGAGUGUACCAAUUUUCAACAAAAUAGAUAAAAAGCUUUUAUAAGAGUUCCUGCAAUCCUAUAACUUUUGUUAUGGGCUUUGUUUAGACAAUACCUAAAAACACAAUUGCCAGAGCAGAAAACAAGUGUUUUGUGUGUUGAACUUAUAUAUAGGAAAACAACAGUAAGUGAACUAGGCAUCAACUUCAUGAACAUGUAAGAUUACUCUUCACCCAUGCUGUAAAUCAUUGGAUCUAGUACAAGUAAUUGUACUGCAAUGUUUUUUGCUAGGCUAAGCAUUUCAGCUGUGUGCCCAGUCCUUCCAAGUCUGAGCUUAUGCUGUAUUCAGAGCUUUGUAGGGUUUAGUCAAUAACAUGUUUGUUUUGAAUGGUUUUUCCUAGAUAACAGUAACACAAACCCAUAGCUUGUGUAACAAAAAUCCAAAGCUUGUUUACAUCAUUUAAUAUGCCUGAAAGAUUAAGCUCAAGACUGUAAAAAUAAUAAUGGAAAAAAAAAAAGCAGAAAAAGCACUUCUUUAGAAGGGUCUCUGCUGUUGCACUACCAGAAGGCAAAGAGCAUAUUACGUUAACUAUGGGCCAGAAACUGUUUUGCUCUUUUAAACCGCAGCAAUGACUUGCAUAAAAAGACUUCAAGGCAUUUCCUCUUCUCCCUGAAGAUAGCCAUAAGUCUUUCUACUGCCCUAGGAUGUGCACUGAAAUGACUGCAAGACAGGCACAUCUUUUGCAUCCUAAACAGCAGCCUUUAUUUAUCAAAACACACAGAACAUGCAAUGGAGAGUCAAAACAAAGCAAAACCAGCAAUUCCAACAAUCCUCAGAAAACUUUGUUCCGAAUUGAGCAGUAUGUCCUGCUCAUAGAUGGACGUUCCAUUGCCUGUUUAGCAAAUGCCCCUCAUUUUCUUAACUUAAAAUCAUGCCUUAAGAAAAUUAUUUCAUCAGCAUUUAUACAUAGACACCCAUGAAGUUUUCAACAUAGUCUUGAAUUUGUGGUUUAACCUUCAUGAAGCAUACUGUUAUUUUCAAGGAUAAAUUUGAAGCACAACCUCAUUUUAAAGUAUAUGUGGAAAAUACUGAGCUUGUCAGCAAUAAAUACCUCAGCGUAUAGAAAUUUCGCAAAGGAAAAAACCCACAAAAAUGCCAAAACAAUUACAGAAAAGCAGAUACUAUCAUCCUUACAUUUGCAGAAUAACAAUUCUAACUGAACGUCCUCUGCCUUUUGCUAGUACUGUGUGAUAUACAUAAUAUUUGCAAACGUGUACACGUAUAUAUUUUCCAUAUCUGCAUGCUACAUAAGAAGGUCCUGAUAUUUAAACAAAGCAGAGACAAAACCUAACAAGGUGUCUCUCAACCAGUGAGGACACAAAUCCCUCUCUAAAGGGCCUGGGGCAGCGUGCCUCAAAUGCUAAUAGCUUGAGUUGUGUGCAAUAGCCCUAUAUUGUUUAUAUAGCACUUCACAUGUUCAAAGCACUAUGAGAUAUCAGCCAUCACUACACUUUUACGAGGCUCUAAGUAUUACCCACUAAAUGUUAGGGUUCAAAUGACUUGCUCUUGAUCAAAAGAAACUUUGUGCAGCAGGACCAUAAUUAUUUGAAUUCAGUAAUUCUGACAGUCCAUUCCUAUAGUGACAAAAAAAGGGGGGAGGGGGAAAUGGGAUAUUUAAAGCCAGUUGCAACUGCACUUUGUUCUGGCUAUGUUAAGUACAGGCAAUGUAGAAUCCCAAAGCUAACUCUCACAAAAAACAGCACCUCCAAAGAAAAUGAGAACUUCAAUGAUUUUUUUCCAUUUUAAAAGCACAAAUACAAAAACUGUUUUUUAAAGAAUUGGUCGUGUUUCUCUGAGUAUAUGUAUGUCAUUAUCACCGUGAAGAACCUAAAAUACUGUAGAGAAACAGACCAGAAAACUUAAUAUGCGAGUCAUAUCAUCUGCUCUGAAACAGGUUCUCCUUUUUUGCUGCUGCUGUUUCGAUAAAGGUUUGGUUUUGAUUUUUUCUUCUUCCUUUAAAAAUCAGGAGGAGGAGCAGGCAAAGACCAAGGCAACUCGUGAUAGGACUUAAAUCACUACCCUUUAGUGAUACAUAAUAUCUUCCCAUUUUUAGACAGAUGUUCAUUCUAUGGAAACCUCAGUUGCCAUCGCUGAUACUUAUUAACUUAGAGUCAAAAUAUCAAGUCUCCCUUCCCAUGAAGGAAACACAAUGGAGCCGAUGGUGAAAACCAGCCAGUCACAGUUUUGCUACCUAAAACUAAAUCCUUCCUUGAAAUAAGGAAAGCGGUGCUCAGGGACAUGAUUUAGCAGAAGGUUGUUAGAGUUAGGGUAGUAUGGUUAGGUUGCUGUUGGACUUGAUGAUCUUUCAGGUCUUUUCCAACCUGAGCAAUUCUAUGAUUCUAGGAUUCUAAUAAAGGCUGAACUGGAUCGAUACUGAAGAUUUUUGUACUUACAGCUUAAAAAUCUUCAUGCAAAAAACAUAAAUAUUGAGAUUUCAAAAUGAGAGAAUGAAAACUUUUUUUUAAACUUUGCAUUUAGCACACAUCCUAUCAUACACAACUUACUUUCCAACAUCUUACAUUUAAACUUGCAUAUAUUGCCUUUCGUUUCCAUACAUACCAUAUGUUUUCAGAACACAGCCUCACAGUUACUGGCAUUCAAAUCUUAUCUGCAGGAUGACAUGGGAAAUAUGUAGUACUGAGACAAAAAUGUAGGCCUCUACACACAAUUCAGAUUCAACAAAUAAGAGAAGUGCUCCUGUUUAAGCAGGGGGAGGGUAAGAAAUUCCCUUCAAAAGCAGUACAUAGUACAGAGUUUAACUAACAGAACCUCUUGUGUUUUAGCCAAGUUGAUCAUGGUAUGCGUAACAUUUACCCUAUCUAUCCUACAGCUUCUAUUAGACAUUCUUGGGUACAGGCCACUCAGAACUCUAUGCCAGACUGUUUGCAAUAACCAAAAAUCCAAAGUUACGUUACUGAGAUAGCUUCUAAAAUAUUAAAAAUUUAAGCACAAUGCCAGUAGGUGAGCAUUGCUUCACGGAUAUUAAUGUAAAAAGCAGUUACAAAUCUCCAUCUACUGACCUAAAGAACAGAUGUUUGCAUAUGGAUUUAUUAACAUAGAAAUAUGUGUAUAUCUUCCAUAAGUAAUAACGUGUCCCAGUAACAAAGAAUGAAGAACUGUUGUCCAAAAGGACUGGAAAAUGGCAUGCAGUAUUAGAAUAUACUCACCAAUUUCUUGGCUUUAAAUACAAGACAAAGCUAAUAGGUCCAGCACAGUAAUCCUCCAUGUUGGAAAAACACAUUUUCAAACAAGACUAACAUGAAGGAAUACUCAAAUUGCAGAGUCCACUUCAAUUGUUGACAUGUAAAAGUACAUUUAGGUCAUAACAAAGCAACCAUGAUCUAAUAAAUAAGAAUAGCCAUUAAUUUUCAUUGAGUUAUUUUAAUGCAGUAAGCAAAAACCAACAAAAAUCAUAUUGCAUUGAGUAUUAAGGUGCGGGAGCAAGUCCAAAGAAGGGCAACAAGGCUUGUGAAGGGCUUGGUGAAUAUGUGCUAUGAGGAGUGACUGAAGGAACUGGGGCUGUUUUGUCUGGGGAAAAGGAGCUGAGGGGAGACCUUAUUGCUCUCUUCCAAUAUCUGAAAGGUGCUUAAGACCAAAAGUGGGGUUUGUCUCCUCACUGGUGACAGAAUAAGCGGAAAUGGCCUUAAGUUGUACCAGGGUAAGUUUAGGUUGGAUAUCAGGAAAAAACUUCUUAACUGGAAGGGUUGUUAAGCAGUAGAAUAGGCUCCCCAGGGAGGUGGUUGAGUCACCAUCCCUGGAUGUGUUUAAAAACCGUUUGGAUGUGGUGCUCAGGGACAUGAUUUAGCAGAGGGUUGGUAUGACAGUAUGGUAAGGUUGUGGUUGGUCUCGUUGAUCCUGAAGGUCUUUUCCAACCUGGGCAAUUCUGUGAUUUUAUGAUUAUCACAUGAAAUAUUGAUUUGGAAGGGUUUUUAAUAACAAAAUUUAAUGAAACAGUAAUCAGGUAAAAAUUUUGGUGAGCAAAGCAUAUUUUCAAACCCUAAAUACAUUCUUUUUGGAAGUACAGUGGAAUCUUUGACCAAAUAUCACGAUUGCUCCUCACAUUUGCCCUGCUCCUAAACUAGCCUGGCUAAUAAGCAUCCUACCUCAAACUGUCCUGUAAACACAUAAUACUACUUGACAGGUUUUACUUCAAAAGCACAGUCAGGUUUUGGAAAAUAGACCUGUUAAGAAACCUAGUUAAUGGCUACAAGCAUGUGAGCUUACAGGCUUGGAGAUGUACUGGUUUCUGGGCCAGCAGAACUACAAGAGAACCCAAGAGACUGCACACUGCACUGUGACACGUAUGCAUAUCACAGAAUUUUUGGUUUGGUUUAAGAACAGCCACAGUAUUACUUUUUCACCUCCAAAAAGCAUUUCCUGUGUGCCAUGCUAUUUUCCCCUUCUUUUCCAUUAGUCAAGAACAUGGCUAAUUCUGCAUAGCUUUAGAUUUCUCCACACCAUUACAUACCAUUGCAGUAUUCUCUCCUGAUUAGGGUGACAAGCAUGAGUACUUUGAAACAUGAUACAGCUGCUACUCUUCUCCAGAAGUGGCUAUACUCCAGUAAAUACUCCCUGAAACAUCUUUUUCCAACAGAGGUUUAAAAACAUGUAACUAUGUUUCCAUAGGUUGACAGCAAUACAAAAACAUUUGAUCACCUAGCUGAAAAAUACUGGCCUUUAGCAUUACUGCAGAGGUAAUUAGAAGCCAUACUUCAACCAACUGCAGAAACAACUGCAGUUAGUGUUUGUAUAACACAAUUAGAGUCUUAUAUUACAGUGAAGGUUAUUGGGUUCUCUUCUUGCAAUUUUUAAGAUCAAAGAAGAAAUGAACACUUUUCAUUUUGUCAGGUAAAGACCUUCCUUUUGAUGGCUGUACAGAGUCUUUACUUCCAGCGUAUAACUCAGACAUUCAUGAAUAAAUUGAAUCUCUAAUAACAGUCAGCUGGAUUUAAUUCCUCCUCUUGAUGGAAGCACAACACUGUCAAUACACAGUGAGAUUUAAUAUUGCUGUUAAUUUACUGCAGGUAAAAGGUAGAUGCUAGAUCUUCAUGUUGUAUCUAAAAAUAGCUUCAGAUAAACAUGGAAAAAAAAAAGAUGGUAAGAACUGAUGAAUGAUCAUUCUACUUCAUUUUUUUUUUUUUUCCAGAGGAACAUCCAGGUGCCAGCUGGUGGAAAGGCAGAUGCCACUGAUUCCAAUAGUCUUGCACCAGUUUACAUUGACAGAGUCUGAUCCUAUGUGCAUUAGAGUUACUUUUAGGCACUCACACUGGAACUCACUUCAGUGACAAUUAAAAAUAUAUCCACGCAUGACAUUACAUCCUGUCCCCAAGUGUAUGACUGGAAGCCUGUUGACAGUCUGUGGGAGAGGGCAAGUAGAAGUAGCCAAGAACUAUGUCCAUGAGAUAACUUUGUAAGAGGAGUAUUAACCCUAAUUUUCAGUUGUCUUUUUUUUUUUUUUUUAAUGUGACCGUUUGCCUACAGAAAAAAAAUCUCAGCUCCACCUUGCAGUAGCAAUUCAAUGCUUGCAAAGGAAAAAACAAAAUAAACCAUGAUGCUGUAGACCGUGUAGAGUGUCUAAGUAAGUUAAAAAAAGACUGGUCUCAUCAUCUAGAAUUGUAAGAAACCCCCCGAACUGAGAUCUGUUUGUUCAACUAUUUGUUCCUGAAGAUGCAGCUCAUGUAGCAACUGAAGUAAUUGUUUGUCUGUACAGCGCAACACCCAUAACUCCAAUUUAGGUCAGGCCAUCAAGAAGAGGAAAAAGGACUGAAGAUGAGAUGCUCUACUUCACACAGUUGCCCUCUGGAAGGGCUGGCAAAGGCAGUCACUUAAAUUAAGUACAGGUCAUCAGACAGGAUAUCUAAUCUAUUCCUAAAACAGGCAGCUCUCGCAGUCCAAAUCCCUAUGGCCUUUACAGCAACACAACGAACUACUUCCUCAUGUACCUCUGUCAAUUCACGUUAGGUUCCUAUUUUUUUUUAAAGCGAUAUUUCUUGUACACCAUGACCCUAUUGCUCACAGCAAGGAAAGUGCUUUGGUUUAUUUAUGACCUACUAACCUUAAAUAAAAAAACCAUACAUCCAAUCUGAAUGUUCACAUAAGCCUGCAGAUCUGAAAUAAAACUUAAAGUAAAGCUGGCAUUUGUAAUAGCUAGCUAAGCCCAGUAAGGGAUUUAGAAAAAAAAUUAAAAUUAAAACCAGAUGAGAGAAGAUGAAAGCAUUUUUACCCUGCAUAACCUGCACACAUCAUGAAUGAUGGCUGAAGCUCAGGAAUACUUUUUUGUGUUUUUGUACUUACAAGUUUCAACCCACUUCAACAGCGGCUAGGUAACCAAGGAAAUACUGAGGUUUUCCCAUUACAGGGUGGGGAGGGAAUAAUAAUAACCCAUGAAAGUAAUUCCUUUUAAGAUGCAAUCCAUCCAGCCACGAGCUCUACACAGCUCCUCUCUUUCCCUUACACCCCAUCCUAACUGCCAGGUAUCAGUCUGGUCAGACCUCAUAUUGAAAUAUGAUGUGACAGAGGGAAGCAGGGAGUAAGACUGUAGGAAUAAGUACUGAAAGAAAUGGCAUAAAGAAGGAAAGUUUACAGCAGGGAAUAUGGGAAACACAAGUGACCCUAUAUAUGUUUUGCUAGAACAAUGCUGAACAGAUGCAAAUGCAGAAAAGACUAUUCAGUUGAAGAGUUUUAUUCUCUCAUAGCUCACCCUGAUCUAAAGAACACCCUUCCUCUACAUCCAUAGAGUUUAAUUGUGAUACGGUCAGUACAAAUAAGUGGGGAAAAAAAAGGAAAAAUAAAAAUCAAGCUUCAGACCUAAGAUAUCAGCAACAAACAACUCUUGCUGCUGAACCAGCAUCAAAUAAAGGGAGGAGAGAACAUCUCCACCACAGUUGGUUGGAACUAGAACUCACAGAUACUCAUGAUCACAGUGGAAUUCCUAAACAAAAGAAAAAAUCUACUAGAAAGGAGAAAUUAUUUACGUUCCAUUCUUCUGUAGUUCUCCAGCAGGGUAUAUUAAUGCCUCUGUUCUUUAGAUAUAUUUGAUAGAAAUACAGUUAUCUGUACAAGAAGAGUAAUUUGUUGAAAGAAAUAGAUACAAAGUUCUUGACACAGCAUUUGUUUAAAAAAGAAUAUACGCAGGCAGUAUAUUUAUGACCUGAAGUCUUUUGGUGCUACCUCCCUUUAUGGUACUUUAAACAAAAUGAACAGAAAAUAUUUUAUAAAUAUUUUUAUUUAAAUGUAGAAAUCAAUGAGAGAGUACAAACUAGCUUGCCCUCUGGUAAAAGAUUUAACAAGUAGGAACUCCUAGAAUCCAAUGAAUCACUUACCAUUUCAGUGCAGCAAACUAAGAGCAGCCCUAACUAAAUGAACUGAGACCAACAAAGCUGCAAGAGAACAACCUUCUGCAGGAGAAUUGCUAACAAGCACAAGUAAGGAAAAAUCCCUGUGUUACCAUUCUGUGCCUUGUGCUACAGCUUCAGCACUUCUUCCCAUAAAACAUUAAAAUUGUAACCCUAUAUGUUGUAUGUGUAAAAAUAUAUGUGUAUACAUAGAGUUAAAAGUAUAAGGAAAAAUUAGUUGGAAAGCUCAGAUAGAUGCUGGAAAAAAAAGCUUGUGCUACUGUGGAAAUUGCUAUGCACUUCAAUUUGUAAUCAUCAAGUUCUGGAUAUAAACAGGUUGAAGACAAAAAAAGAAACAUGAAAAUAAAUUUAGGUCAUCAAACCUCGAUGUAAACUCAUCAAGAAGUGAAUACUGGCAGAUUUUACUCUGCUUACUUUAUAUUUUUAUUCUACUGGUAAAGUAUAAACUGUAACACUGAUUCACAAUAUUCUUGGCAGGAUCUGUUAAUAAACGGGUGAAACCUUAUGUUUCUGUUUGCUAUGAAGUUCAGUUUUGUAAUAACACAGACAACAUUAAUCAAUCGACUUCUGCCUGGAUGGCCAACAACAUAGUUACAGCUUGAAUAAAUGAAAUACCUUUUCUUUCCAUAGAAAGACAUGUGAGAAGCUGCCAGCUCCAUGCAUGAAGAAGGAAAUGGGAUAGACAGAGAAGGGUGCUGGUACUGGUAAGAGAAGAAUAACUGAAAUUACAUCAAUUGUAUGAUAAAAAUAAUCAUGUCAAUUUUGAUUUUCCCCCCUCCUUUCAGACAUUUAAGGAUGCUGUCAAGUCAAUGGAGUUCUCUUGUAGUGGUUGCUUCAGUGAACAUUCAACGCUGUCGGCCUUCACACCGAAGAUAGAAACCUAACCAGCACAUGAGGUUUCUCCCCUACUCUGCCACGCUUUACAAAAAAGGUCACAAUCAACAUUCAUUGCUGUCGGUGGGUUUAACUAUGUGGACAAGCUCACUGAACAAUGAAUGCAACUGUGGCCCCACAUUUUACAGGUGCAUUUGGGAGGAAUGUCAGCUCUGAAAGGAAUAGUGAGAAACAGACAUUUCUUAUAGGUUACGUUUUUCUGGUCAAAAAUUUGUUAAGGAUAUUCAAUUAACUCUUCUUUGUUAUUAAAUGUAUUUAACUAUGUUGACUAAAAAAAAAGCACUGCAUUUUUCUGGAAUAUCACCCUCACAGGGUUCAGCACCUCUGAAACUGAAAUAAUGCUUGUUCAGUAUGUAUGUGGAAAAAAGUAAUAAUAUAGAGAACUUGGUAUAUAUGUACUCCUCAGGACUAUGCAUAAGAGGAAAGAGUAUUUAAAUGUUAAAUCUUAAUUAACUAGGUAUUAUGGAAUAGUUUACAGAAGUCUCUUCUAUACUUGUCAAGACAAAACCAGAACUUUUCUAGUGGACAGGUAACAGAAAUAGAUGUAUACCCACUAUCAAAUAGUUAAAUCGUAAAAUUACUCUAAACUUUGGGUACUUGUGUCACACUCAGUAUUGCUAACACUAAUGAAAAAAUAAAAGUGUAAUUAAAGCUCACUGUUCUGUCCUUAUUUUCUUACAACCUUUGUUUAACCCAGCUGGAAAAAACAGAGCCCAGCCUACAUUUCUACCUUUCAGAAGUCAUCCAAGGUAAGUGCAAGCCUUCACACAGCACAGUUUCAAUAUUCUGCAGUAGAGUUGCUUCUAACAUUUAGGAAAUCACACGACGUUCCUAGUUUCUCCUGAUAGACCCUCUUAAAAGCUGGGGUCUGUUAACAAUACUUCAGUUUGAUUAUUUACACAGUAACUUCAGCACCACUGUUAUGCAGUUGUCUAGCUCACUGUCCUUGCUUGUUGUAUGCAGUUUUUCAUCACAUGACAAAGGAAUAGGAUACAACCAUCAGGGCUAUCAUGGGAGGAAACAUCUGUACCUGCUUUGUGAACCGUAUAUUAACAGCCUAGCUAAAUAAUAACAGUUUAAGUAAUCAAAGAGAUCAGUCCUCAAUCACAUGCAAGAUUAUAUUUGAAUAACUGAAUUUUUAAUGAAAAGAGAGGCACACUACUGAAUUAAAAUCAGUGGCUGAAAGAAGUGUGUUGUUUUUUUUCAUUCUGAUAUUUACUACCAAAUAAUCUACAGAAUGUACUGAGGCCAGGGGCAGCAGUUAAGUACUAAUAGGAGGAGUGGCUAUGGAUACGUGACUUCUCAGUGACAUUGCAUAGAGAACCCUAGGUUCUAUCUUAAAGUUCACUCGUUUCUACACAGCAAUGAGUACUUGAAUAACUAUCAAAUUAUAUAUAUGGAUCACAAUACAAGCAAGUUAUAUAUUCUAUCUAGAAGGACAAACUUACAUGUUCAGUUGCAGCUACUUCAUACUUGCCUAAUUUCUGCACUUAUUACUUUUACUAAUGUGACUUAUAAUUGUGUUAUGCAUUAAUAAACACUGAAGAUGUUACUGAAGUUUGUGGAAUUAAGCAGCAGUGGAAAGAACCAGCAUCCUAGCAUGUUAUCACCUUCAAGCACAACAGAAGAAAAUACAAAAAUAAACCAUACUGCAACUGAUAAUGGUUGAACAAUACAAUUGUUGUAGGGACACAGGAUCCAGUGCAAGAAAAAGGUUAGUUAUAGGGUAGGAGGGAAGGUGAGGGGUUGAUGGCACUCUCUCAAAAUGCACAGAUGUUUUACCUUUUAGAAAAUAUCUACAGUAAUAUUGUUGCCUUGCGUAAGUUGUGUCAGUGAUUUUAAUCAUAGAAUCGCUAAGGUUGGAAAAGACCCACAGGAUCAUCCAGUCCAACCAUUCGCCCUUCACCAAUGGUGCUCACUAAACCAGGUCCCUCAACACAACAUCCAAUCACUCUUUGAACACCACCAGGGUCGGUGACUCCAUCACCUCUCUGGGCAGCCCAUUCCAGUGCCUGACCACCCUUUCAGAGAAGUAGUAUUUCCUAACGUCCAGCCUGAACCUUCCAUGGCGCAGCUUAAAGCCAUUGAAGCCAUAAUCACGCUUUCAUAUCAAGAUUAAGAAUCUCCAUAGUGUACAAAUACACAUUAUUUCAUACAGCUUGAUAAUUUUAUAUCUCCAUUAAUUUACAGGAUGCUCAUGGGCAAAGCAAUACCACACCUGAUAAGAGAGACUGCUUUUCACACACAUCCUUUACAUAAUGAAGCAAAAGUGAUCCCCAUUCAGCAACAGUAGCUGUGAAACUGAAGUUCCUUGGUCAUUUUCAGGGUUGUUAGUUUUUGUUGUUGUUGUUAAUAUGAUACAUCCAUGCUCAAUACAGUAUCCGUGGGCUACAGAGACCUUCCAGAAAAUUGCUCCUUGGUAUCACUGUAAAUAAUUCACUCACAACAAUAUUUUUAGGUCUAGCAUAUCAAAAUUACAGGAAAUGUAAUGGACCUUGACAUAAUAGGAGCACUAGUUUCAAAGCAGUGAAGGAGGAGGAGAAGGAACAUACUUUCCACACACAGCUCAGUCACAGUUUCCCAGUGUCCAUAAUACUGUGCUUGAAACAGGAGAGGCAGUACCAAGUGGUUGCUGCUAAGUUUGGAGUCACUGAGGUUUUACUUAACUCCAGACAUAGUUCUGUUUUUCCUGACUUCUGGAGCAAAAUGGGUGAAAGCAGUUCAGAUCCAGCAGUUUCUGCGUCAAGCCUCUAACUCCUGUUUACCAAGCACAGAAAGACAUUCCAUCUUACCUUUCAAACUACAACACAAUGAAUACCUAUGAAAACCAUACGUGAUUCAGGACUACAGCAAAAUGAAAACAUUACACUGUCCAGAGCAGACUAAAAACACCACAAUAACAUUUCUUGCUUUACAGAUGGUAAAGAGAAGAAAUACAGUAGAAGUUAAAUAUAGAAAUAGUUUGUAUCUGUAUGUAGUAGUCUGAACUGGAAGUAGUAUCUAGAUCUUGCAUUCGAGCCAUGCGUCUUACACUGGAAGAAGCAGUAUUGUAAUUUUGACAUGAAAACCGUAUUUUCCUUCUUGCUGAUCGCCCCUUUUUCCUAAUCAAAUGAUAUUUAUUUUUCUCUCUAGAGUUAUCAUCCACUCCAGAUUAAUAUCUGUAUCUUGCCCUCACUUUCUUCUAUUCUUCUGUAUAAUUCUCUUAACUUCUUCAAAAAAAAAUUAGUCUUCCUGAGCUUCCUCUUUUAGCACAAGUGCCAGAAAUGCAGACUGUGUUCCAAAUAGCCCAGCCAAAGCUAGCUGAAGUAGUCUGAUGUCUCCCUAUUUUACAAGGAACUGCUGAUCAUUUUCAGCCAAAAAUAGCAUUUGUAAUGGCACCACACAGUUAACACAUUUAAAUUUAUCUAACUUUAUUCCACAGAUAUAUUAGUGUCCACAAGUUUUUUCCUAAUUUGAAGUAGGUUAUUUCAUCCCCCUGAAAUGCAACACUUGCCAUUUUUUUUAAUCUAUUACGUAAUUUCUGCAACAUCUAUUGAUUACAGCAUCGUGGUCAUAUUUUCACAGGAAUUAAUUAGAGACUUCUUGUAGGUUUACAUCUGAAAAAAAUACAUCUGAAAAAAUAUAAGGAAAGAUCCAGGGGUAGGAGCUCCAACCCACAGAAGCCAUGAAUUACAACAGAAAUUUUGUCUAUACUUGACAAGUAAAUCAGAACUGAAUCCCCUAGCUCUGCAGCCAGAGCCAGAACACGCAUAUACAACACAUAGACUUUUCCUGGUUUUGUUCCAUGAGAUACAGUAGCGCCCAAGCUAGCCCUAAUAUUUUUUUUUAUUGUUUUAAUAAAAGAAUUACCUAUCAAGUUUGUAAAUAGGCUAUCAUGAGACCUGAAAGUGUAACUUAUUGUGCAGUGUCUUUUUGUUUGUUCGUUUUCAUUAUUCUCUAUUAGAAAUGUUACUCUAGGUCUUGACAAUGAAAAGACAAGUCCAAAACGGACCAGAUACCGCAGUUGUAUGAUACCACAGUUCAGAACAGAACUGGCAAAGAGGCAAGGUACCUGGAAAAUAGCAUUCUCUUGGCCAUUAAGAUAGGAGAACUUGCACUCAAAAUAAACUGCAGUAUAUAUACGCUAUUUAAACUGUGAUAUCACCUGUAAUUAAUGGCAAGCUACUGCAAUAAUCACAUGCUAUUAAGCUAUUUGAUUGCCUGGAAAUGCUAUUUAGUAAUUAAACAGUUAAAAUACUUUAUCAUAGACUUUUUGAAACACUGAAGCAAAAAAAAAGAUACACAAAUAUUAAUUUUAGCUAGCAGGAGAUGAGUCCAGGUGGUUGCCCUCUAAAGUCAACAUCACCAUCUGAUGUGUAAAACACUCCUAAUUAACAUAAAGUACACCCUGUGCUAAUUAUUGUGCUCGCCUCCAAAUAAUGAGCCAUAACAAGCCUAGAGUUCAAGAUGAUAUAUUUACAUUUAAAUGCCAUGCACUUCACCAUCCUGUAUCAAUAUGGCCCUGGUUAACACACUGACAAAAAAAUGAAAUUACUGCCCCCACCGCCCUGCAGACUAGGGAAGCACAAACAGCUAAACAGAUACUAGAACUAAAAGAACUUUCAGACAGACCUUCAGGUUGUAAUUGUGGAAGGCAACAGGGAAAAGCAGUGCUUCAAAGAUAGUGGCCAGCUGUGGUCUACAGAACAUCGUAAGCAAAGUGGAGUCUCUUCAGGAAGAUAUCCAUACAUCUCCAAAACAAUUUCGGGAGAAUAUUCCAGAAGUUCACAUGGAUUGUGGUUUGCUAACUAGUGAAUUCAGGUUCUCCGCUGGUUUUAGUCAGCAUACUUUUGAUUUCAGUGGAAUUACACCACUAUAUACAGUGUGAGGGUUUGACAAACAAACAUGCAAGGGAUAUAAAAGCAGCACAGUCCUGCACAUCCUACACUAGAAAUGCAGUCAGAGGUAAAAGUCACUCUUUGGAAGAAGGGAGGGAAGCAAAAGAACAGAUAUUUGAAAAGCAAUCACUCCUACCUACAGAAAGAGCAUUUCUACCUGCUGUGGGUGGUCGUGGACACAGCACUUGGACACCUAACUCCUCCAUUCUUGCAGGUUACAGUUUUGCAGGUACAAAUACAGAAUUUCAAAACACAACAUGCAUAGAGUAUUUUGGGGCAGAAAUAUAACACCCACGUUAUGAUAAUUUGGCCUUUGCCACCACAUGACGGUCUCCUUCACUUCAUGUAUCUUGAGGUACGUGGGUGGCAAAGAACUGACAGCAUAUUUUUGUCUAAAGAUGGCUCCCACAGCACGAGUGUACAUACUGGAAGCAAUGGCAGUUUGUUUCCUUCCUCCCUUAAUACUGUGCUCUUUACUUGAGUUUCCAUCAUUUCUAUACAGAGCUAGUAACACUAAACCAUUCACCGAGGAGAGGGUUAAAAAAAGCCAAAGCAAAAAAAAAAAAAAAUCACCGAGUCUUCAAAUUAUUCUCUGUCACAAUAUCCAGAUUUUAUGAAUCCUGAACCAUCUCCUCAGGGUGCCUAGCAGCACCUUUCUCUGGCCUAGAACUAAGCUCUGACUUCAGAUUUGUAUCAGCCUUUACAAGAGACGAUCAUUUUCAGCAAAGUUUCAGGCACUGCAGAUUUAUGUACAAAGACUUCUAACUGCUGCCUGGAUGUGCCUUCUGGAACCAGAAAACACACAUCAAGAGUAAGAUGAGCAAGCCACAGGUUUGUUCAAAUGAAUACCAAAAACUGACUGUUAAGAGUCAAUUAAAAAAAAAUACUGAAAAUAUUGAACUUUUCUCUGCUUCCUCUGUAUUGCUAUUCCAACUAGAUCCUACACCACCCAUCCUAUCAACAUCUUCAUGGAUGCACACAGGUAGCUAAGACACUCCAUAUCUUAAAAAGAAAACCUAGAGGUUUUCUUUCUCCUUAAAGAGACUUAUCUGUGUGGAAACCUCACUUCUUUAAACCUUGUACUGAGAUUCUGGGGAGUGCUACUGCAUCUAUUGCUAAUAAUCCAAGCCUGUGGCAUGCAUACCCACAAGGGUAUUUUUAGCUAGAUUCUAGGUGCAUACCUUUGCAACUGAUUUCGAGUUCCAUUAACAUCUAGAACUAGUGGCUCUUCUCUACUUUGAUGAGGAAAAUAAACUAUGUUCCAGCUGAAAGCGGGACUUGGAUCCCCAAAUCAAUAAGACUACAUUAGUAGUUUGUCACAUUGGAGCCCAUAGGGCACUUGUGCUCACUAUUCUCCAAACAAGAUGAAGUUUUAACAGGCUCACCUAAUUUGUUGAGCAAUAUAGUUGGAAUCCCUGCAUUAUGAAUAAAAGAAACUGGUAGGUUGCUAGGCUGAUGACAGGUCGUACAGCCUUUUCUUGACAGAAGAUACAACAGUCAACAGUGUACAACUGAACCUGUACAGAGCCUGUACAGCCUGUUACAGAGCCUGUAACUUCCAAGCACAAAACACCGCAAUAUGUGCUUAAAAGCACAAAAAGGGUUUAUGUUCACUUCUAAAUUGUUGGCUGCUACAUGUUGUCAUCUCUUUUUAAAGGUUGCUCACUAGCUGCAUUCCAAGUUUUCACAUAUGUAUGAUUUCCUUCAGCUACAAGUGUAAAUUUGCAAGCAAUGGGAACAUGAGUGCAGUCACUGUCUGAUGGAAUCUGCAUAGAAGGUAAAGCUGUCACCAGAUGGCAUUUCUGAGUUUUGUGCAGCCAGAUAUUCAAAAGCAGCAUCUGAAUUCUGGAUGCUACACUGUUGUUUUUGUGGGGUUUUUUUGUUUGUUUGUUGUUGUUUUAAUUUAUUGUGGAUACUCUGAAUCAGCAUCUGCUCCUGCAAUUAUC
ensembl:lncRNA